rnacentral:rRNA from 1 species
UGGGGAAUAUUGCACAAUGGGCGCAAGCCUGAUGCAGCCAUGCCGCGUGUGUGAAGAAGGCCUUCGGGUUGUAAAGUACUUUCAGCGGGGCGGAAGGGAGUAAAGUUAAUACCUUUGCUCAUUGACGUUACCCGCAGAAGAAGCACCGGCUAACUCCGUGCCAGCAGCCGCGGUAAUACGGAGGGUGCAAGCGUUAAUCGGAAUUACUGGGCGUAAAGCGCACGCAGGCGGUUUGUUAAGUCAGAUGUGAAAUCCCCGGGCUCAACCUGGGAACUGCAGCUGAUACUGGCAAGCUUGAGUCUCGUAGAGGGGGGUAGAAUUCCAGGUGUAGCGGUGAAAUGCGUAGAGAUCUGGAGGAAUACCGGUGGCGAAGGCGGCCCCCUGGACGAAGACUGACGCUCAGGUGCGAAAGCGUGGGGAGCAAACAGG